AUGGCGCUCUGUACCGGGUUCACAGUCACCUUUUGUCGGCUAAAUUUAACUGUACAGACCGCUAAACUCAACUAUCAUGUGACCGGUCGUCACGUGACCGGCCGGCGGUAAUUUCGUAGGAUAUCAAACAUAUUGUUGUGCAUACGUUUUCUUACAAUGUACGAACCCGUUCAUGAGAGUGCGUUGUCAGGGUUAUCUGAUUACAUCAUCAUUUUAAAGUAAAUAUAUAAAUAUUUUUUAUAUAAACUACAGCAGUGUUUCUCAAAUGGGGGUACGCAUUCCCCUAGGGGUGCUUUGGAGUACUGCAGGGGUGAGUGAGAGUUUUGCAAAAUGCUAAUUUCAAAAUGUCAUGCAUUACUCUUAAAAUAGUACAAUUAUAAUCAAUGAAUUAAGUGAUGGAUUCAAAACAUUUGAAAUGUAGGAUUUGAAUGUUUUUCAGUUACAAGGCUGUUGUUUAGUAAAUCUAUCACUGCC